rnacentral:rRNA from 1 species
GACGUAGGGGGCGAGCGUUGUCCGGAUUUAUUGGGCGUAAAGCGUGCGUAGGCGGCUGCGCAAGUCGGUUGUGAAACCCCGGGGCUUAACCCCGGAACUGCAUCCGAUACUGCGUGGCUAGAGGUAGGUAGGGGAGAUCGGAAUUCCUGGUGUAGCGGUGAAAUGCGCAGAUAUCAGGAGGAACACCGGUGGCGAAGGCGGAUCUCUGGGCCUUACCUGACGCUCAGGCACGAAAGCUAGGGGAGCGAACAGG